GUACACUCCUGCGGGAGGCAGCAGUGGGGAAUAUUGGACAAUGGGCGCAAGCCUGAUCCAGCCAUGCCGCGUGAGUGAUGAAGGCCCUAGGGUUGUAAAGCUCUUUCACCGGUGAAGAUAAUGACGGUAACCGGAGAAGAAGCCCCGGCUAACUUCGUGCCAGCAGCCGCGGUAAUACGAAGGGGGCUAGCGUUGUUCGGAUUUACUGGGCGUAAAGCGCACGUAGGCGGACUAUUAAGUCAGGGGUGAAAUCCCGGGGCUCAACCCCGGAACUGCCUUUGAUACUGGUAGUCUUGAGUUCGAGAGAGGUGAGUGGAAUUCCGGGUGUAGAGGUGAAAUUCGUAGAUAUUCGGAGGAACACCAGUGGCGAAGGCGGCUCACUGGCUCGAUACUGACGCUGAGGUGCGAAAGCGUGGGGAGCAAACAGGAUUAGAAACCCGUGUAGUCCCAU
rnacentral:rRNA from 1 species